rnacentral:rRNA from 1 species
GACCCGGAGAUUUCCGAAUGGGGGAACCCACCUUACACAAGUUGGGUACUCACUCGAUAUAGAGUGUAGAGCGAACGAGGGGAACUGAAACAUCUAAGUACACUUAGGAAGAGAAAUCAAUUGAGAUUCCCGUAGUAGUGGCGAGCGAAGUGGGAAGAGCCUGGAAUGAUUUAGCUGUAAUUAUAGUAGAACAAGAUGGGAAGCUUGACGAUAGAGGGUGAUAUUACCGUAUACGAAAUAAUCACAGUGGAA